rnacentral:rRNA from 1 species
UACGAAGGGGGCUAGCGUUGCUCGGAAUCACUGGGCGUAAAGCGCACGUAGGCGGAUUGCUAAGUCAGGGGUGAAAUCCUGGAGCUCAACUCCAGAACUGCCUUCGAUACUGGCGAUCUUGAGUCCGGAAGAGGUGAGUGGAACUCCUAGUGUAGAGGUGGAAUUCGUAGAUAUUAGGAAGAACACCAGUGGCGAAGGCGGCUCACUGGGCCGAUACUGACGCUGAGGAGCGAAAGCGUGGGGAGCGAACAGG